UACGUAGGCAGCGAGCGUUGUUCGGAGUUACUGGGCGUAAAGCGUGCGUAGGCGGUUUUGUAAGUUUGGUGUGAAAUCUCCCGGCUCAACUGGGAGGGUGCGCCGAAAACUGCAAGGCUGGAGUGUGGGAGAGGUAGGCGGAAUUCCUGGUGUAGCGGUGAAAUGCGUAGAUAUCAGGAGGAACACCUGUGGUGUAGACGGCUUACUGGACCAUGACUGACGCUGAGGCACGGAAGCGUGGGGAGCGAACAGG
rnacentral:rRNA from 1 species